AAUGUGUAAAAUGUACACUUCUAUACAAGAGACGUGCACUUAGCAUUUUUAUUGCUUUAAACACAGCGAGACAACCGACUGUCCCUAGAGCAAGUGACAAAGGGCAUAGUGGUUGGUACCCGAGAUUCUAAGUUUGAAUUCUAGUUGAUUCACAUUUCUAGUUAAGUUUAUUUUUAAAUAAAAUAAAUAAAGCGGAUAGCGUGCUACUUAUUUCUCUAAAAAAAAAAAAAAAC
rnacentral:lncRNA from 1 species